UUUGUUGCCAGCGGUUAGGCCGGGAACUCAAAGGAGACUGCCAGUGAUAAACUGGAGGAAGGUGGGGAUGACGUCAAGUCAUCAUGGCCCUUACGACCAGGGCUACACACGUGCUACAAUGGCAUAUACAAAGAGAAGCGACCUCGCGAGAGCAAGCGGACCUCAUAAAGUAUGUCGUAGUCCGGAUUGGAGUCUGCAACUCGACUCCAUGAAGUCGGAAUCGCUAGUAAUCGUAGAUCAG
rnacentral:rRNA from 1 species